UACAGAGGGGGCAAGCGUUGUUCGGAAUUACUGGGCGUAAAGGGCGCGUAGGCGGCCGGUUAAGUCGAACGUGAAAUCCCCGGGCUCAACCCGGGAACUGCGUCCGAUACUGGACGGCUUGAGUUCGGGAGAGGGAUGCGGAAUUCCCGGUGUAGCGGUGAAAUGCGCAGAUAUCGAGAGGAACACCGGUGGCGAAGGCGGUUCUCUGGGCCUUACCUGACGCUGAGGAGCGAAAGCGUGGGGAACGAACAGG
rnacentral:rRNA from 1 species